GCUGGGUGUGGUGGUGCAUGCCUGUAAACCCAGGGGCUUGGGAGGCUGAGGCAGGAGGGUCAUGAGUUCAAAGACAGCCUCAGCAAUGGUGAGCGCUAAGCAACUCAGUGAGACCCUGUCUCUA
rnacentral:sRNA from 1 species